GGAGAUUCUUGUUUUUCGAAAAUUCUUCUAACAUGAAAGUAGAGAGAGACAAGUGAAAAUAAACAUGAAAGAGUUAUAGCAACUUCAUAUUAAGGGUAAACCUCAAUUAGAGACCUUAAACCCAGUAUGAGAGUAAUCUUAUAGUCAUUGAAACUAGCUGUAGAAAAUAGCAUACCCCAUUUUUCUUCCCGCCUCUCUUUUCCAUUGAUCACCAUCAUCAUCAACAUGCUAUGAAGUUUGGACACAGACAGGUAAUAUAAGUACGAUAUGAUAGGAACACGACGAUACAAUAAUUUUUAAAAAAUGAGGACACGGAUAUGAUAAGAUAUGAUAAUAAAAAAAUAUUUUUAAUGUUAUAAGUGUUGAUGUGAAUUGGUAAAUGUUAGUUAUAAUGACAACUUGAUGAAAGUGAUUAUAUUUGGCUAUUUUGAUGGAGCUUUGAUUAUGAAAAUAUGGUUGAUGUCAUAUGUUCUCUUAACUUGAUUAUUUGAAUGAUUAAUAUUUGUUUGAGGUGCCUUUGAAUGGCAUAUUUGUUAGGUAUAGGAUGGAUGAAUUUUUGGCAUGUAAUUGAUUAGUUGAAUGUGAUUUUGAGCUUAGGAAUGGAUCUAGAUAUGAUAUGAAUUGUUACUCAUCGAAUGAUGUAGGAAAUGGCUUGAAUCAGGGGUUAAAUAUGCUACACACAGCCUAAGACACGGGCUGUCACAUGGUCGCGUGACAUACACGGUCCACUCACACAACCGUGUGUCUUAUUGUCUUUAGGUGCAGGUUUCACACGACCUGACACACGGCUUGCGACAUGGCCAUGUGACCUUAAUUCGAAUAUCCACACGGGCGAACACACAGAUUGGGACAUGGCCUUGUGUCUGUAUUUCAAACGAGCACACGUUCUGGACUGUGACACACUACUUGGCCACACGGCUGUGUGUCUUUGUAUGAAUGAUUGAAUUUGAUUAUAUGGAAGUUGUCUAAUAUUCUGAAACUGAUGUAUGCAUAAGAUAGUGGUAUGUAUACUAUGAUGCUUAUUCUGAGAUGGCAUUGUAUUAUCUGUUUGGGAAAUAAAUUAGAAUGAUUGAAUAUUUGGUACGAGAUUUGUACUCUAUAUUUACAUGGGUUUGGGUAUUGUGGAGAAAGAAGUAAUCUGUAUAGAAAUAGUGGUUCAGCCACAAUGUGCAUAAAUUUUAUUCUGGCACUCCGUUGCCUUCAGACCUAACUGCUAAGUUGCGUCUCUGUAAAAGUGUCAAAUGAGACUCUAAGGUGUAUAGGGUUUAUUGGGCAUUGAAUGUCUUUAACGGUGUGUUGGGAUGGUCGAAAACAGUGUGUAGCAGUUGGGUUAGGAUUACUACAUCUAAAUCUGAUUUGUAUUGUAUUGUAUCUGGGACUGAAUUUGUAUAUAAACAGAUGUAUAACUCAUCUGCUCUGAAUUAUGAAUUGAAACUUCAUUUGUAUCAAAGUAAAUCUUUGAAUUUGGAAUUAUUUUAUAAGUGAGCACUAGUUGAAAAAUUUUCUUUUACGCCAUGAGUUCACAACUCAUUUUGUUAUUGAUUGAAUUUCAGGUGGAUCUUAGUCAUGAACGGACCGGUGCCGCAGAAGCUCGGUCUAGCUUUUAACUUUCUCUUAAGUAUUAUGUUAGGACUUCAGUAAUCUAUGAUAGUAGAACUUUGGAAGGUUAUGAACUAACUAAUCUUUGUGAUGGAUAUUUUGUGAAGCAUGGUUUAGUAUUAUUGUGUUACUUGUGUGGUAUGUGAGUAUCAACGAUGUAACUCUCUAAACUUGGGUUGGACGUCUAGGCUGGGUUUGGGGUGUCACAUAUCAUCUUUGAAAUUCCGUUGCAAACUUAGGUAUCACAUUAUGUGCUUUUCCGAAAAAUAAAUAAUAUUUGUGUGUGGUUUUCUAAAAGAAAAACAUGUAAGAGUUUUGUCAAAAAUAAUAUUUUCAGAUCUUACAACUUCCAAAGCUAGCUUUGAUUUGGGUUUUCAAAUGGGAAGUGUAAUACCUCUAGGCCUGGCAUAUUGUCUAGGUCAAGUUUGGGGUGUUACAAGUUAAUUUGAGCUACAAUGUGUAAAGAUCUUUUGAGGAUGAAAACGUGAUUAAUCUUCAAAAUUGAAAAGAGAUUUUAUGUUUGGAGAGCAUAGAAAUAAAAAAGGAAUGAAUUAAUUUCGGAAGAAAAGCAUUAAUUUGGUGUUUGGCAAAUUUUUGAAAGAGAUAUGAAGGGAAGGAAUGGUGGGGUUGCUAAAUAGGCAACCAAUUUUUAAAAAUUGGGUCAUUGCCCAUUUAACCACCUCCAGUUUCCUCCGUUUUCCAAGUAAGUUCUUGCUUUACAAUUAAAACCAAUUUAAAAAUUAUAUUUAAAUCAAACCUCGUUUUUAAAUAUGUUUUAACCAAAUUAAUUCUCAGACACCUAAUUUAAUUUCUUAACCUAAAAUUUUAAAUUCUAAUUAUUUUAAUACUUUAUUUAAUUAAUUCUGAAUUAUUUUAUUAUCUAACCUAAUUACGAUUUUGGAUUCACUAACCUGAUCUGAGAUACCCAAAUCUACUAACCCGAUUUUUGGGGUGUGACAAGACUUGCUACCAACAGUCCUUGUUUACAUUGUUUGUUAUUAUAUUGUAUUAAACUUAUUUAGUUGUUAUUUAAUAGGGAUUGUGAUAGAUCUUCUUUAUGUUAGCAAAUAUCGGAUCUCUGUAUAAUUGAGAGAUUUGUAUAGCUUAUUGUACUUAGAAAUGAGAGCACUUAAUUUGUUCAAGUGAGAAACAUUAUUUGUGAGAGUGCAUUUGAUUGUAAAACAUUUGUGUUGUGGUUUUACAUGGUAAGUUCGUAGGGGUGAAAUUGGUGGUGAGGGUUUUAGUCUUCAAAGGUACAAAAUUGAGGAAAUUGUCACUGAGGUGUGAUAAAUUUAAGGUCACUUGUUGUAAGUGAUUGAAGAUAAUGGAUACUUCUUAUUGAGUUAAACUCCGCAAAUGUACGAAAAUUGAAUUGCAUUAACAAAAUUUGUCGCCCACUAUUUUAUUCCUUAUUUGGCAGUGCUUGAAGAAGUGCCUAAACCCUAAGUCAUUCCUUCCAAGCACAUAGCUUAUCUUUUAGCAACUGCUUGAGCCAACAUUUGAUAUUAGAGCUUUUCACUUAACAUUGCUACUGAAAUCCCUAUUGUUGUUUAAUACAAGCUAAGGAAGGAUCAUCUACCUCACGUCCCUGAUGCUGGAAAUUGACCAUUAUGCUUACUAGAAAGACUGCUUGAAAGUUUAUAUUAAUCCAUUGGUGAGAAGUUUUAAACAAUUAAUGAAUACUGAAAAUGAGUUUAUUUUUAUUUUAAAAUGAAUUAAAAGUAAAAUUUAAAUAGUUUAAUAAAAGCUUAGUUCUUUUUUAUUUAAUAUGAAAUGAAUUUAUUCAAAAAAAAUUAAUAAAAUUAAGAAUCUUACAUAAAUAAAACUUAUUAAUGAAAAAGUCAUUUUCAUCCGUUUAAAACAUUUUUUUAUUGUUAUGAAUUAGAUCUAUUGAUAGAUUGCAUUACCUUGUCGAUAUUUGAAAAUAGAAUAAUUAAUAAUGGAGUAUAGUAGAAUUCUAUCAAGAUUUCAUCCCUACAAUUAAUUAUUCGUUGGGACAAUAAUCUAUAGGAAGGAUUAAUUUGAGGAUGAGGAAUUAUCACAUCGGCUCGCUUUUUUCCUUCCCUUCUUAGUCCAAGAGAACCCUUUAUUUAUUGUUUAAAGACGUGUUGCAACAAACGAUGUAUUUUGCCAUUGACAUGAAACCUGCCUCUUAAUUGUAGUAAAAAUUAUUAUUAGGAAUAUUCAACUGAAAAAAAAAUCAUUUCAAGUUAACUAGAUAAAUAGAAUAUAAAUUUUACUCUAUUUAGACAUAGGUAAAUAAAAAUUCAUAAUCAUAAUAAUGAAUAAUUUAAUAAUAAAUUUAAUAUUUUAUUAAAACGAAAAAAAAAAGAAUUACAUAGAAUAAUUAGAACAAUAUAAAAUUGAUAGAAUAGAAUAAAUGGAAAAGGAGUCAAAAUGAUAUAAUACAAAAAAUUUAGUCUAUCUAAAACAAAACAAGAGAUCAUAUGAAAAAUAUAAUUGAUUCUUUCGUUUCCUCGAGUCACUAGCCAUCUGUUGGGAGUUUUGAGGUUAAUACCGAUAUUUUAGCAUCAAAACUAAUAAAUCUAACUGUAGUUCUUCGUGUAUUGAUCUUUUUUGAAAAGAGAGUGUGUGCAAGUUGUUUAUUUCAAGAAUAUGUUGGAUUCACCUAGUUGUACUUUUUUUCAUUAUAACUAGGAAAGAAAAGAGUGCAUGGUCUCGCAAAUUACUUCUAAAUAAAUUUUAAAAAUUAUAUUCUAAAACUAUAACAUUUCAUGAUUCAUUGGUACAUCGACUUUAAUUCUCUAUUAAUCAAUAAGUAAGGCUCAUUAACAUGGUUAAGGCCAAACCCGUUUGAAACUCAGAUGCAACAAAAUACUCUUUCUACUACUAUGUUACAAAAUACAAAAAUAUUUUCAAAAUAAAAAUAUUUUUUCAAUAUAAAAUGCUCAUGUGGAUAAAAGAUUUGAGCCCUUUUCCAGUCUUGAAUCGAUAACCUAUGUAUAACAUAUUUUUUAUUUUUAUUGUUAGUGAAUUCGAUUUAUUGAUUGGUCCAUUACCUUGUCAAUAUUUGAAAAGAGAAUAAUUAAUAAUGGAGUAUAGUGGAAUUAUGGUGGGGUCUUCUUCUUCACGUGUUUCCUGCUUCAUUUAUGUCUUUAUUAUUUUGGUUUCUCUCGCUUUCAAAACUUUAAUAAGAUAGUGGAGAUUCUUGUUUUUCGACAAUUCUUCUAACAUGAAAGUAGAGAGAGACAAGUGAAAAUAAACAUGAAAGAGUUAUAGCAACUUCAUAUUAAGGGUAAACCUCAAUUAGAGACCUUAAACCCAGUAUGAGAGUAAUCUUAUAGUCAUUGAAACCAGCUGUAGAAAAUAGCAUACCCCAUUUUUCUUCCCGCCUCUCUUUUCCAUUGAUCACCAUCAUCAUCAACAUGCUAUGAAGUUUGGACACAGACAGGUAAUAUAAGUACGAUAUGAUAGGAACACGACGAUACAAUAAUUUUUAAAAAAUGAGGACACGGAUAUAAUAAGAUAUGAUAAUAAAAAUUUAAUUUUUUUUAUUUUUUUAUGUUAAAUAUUAUGUAAAUAAAAAUAUUGAUAUUUUUCAUUGAUAUAUAAUCAAUUCUUUUCAAUUAAGCUUUCUUGUCAUUACAUAAAAUAUGAUAGGAUUAAUAAAACAAUACCCAUGACAGGACCCUUGGGCUUCCCAAAACACCUUGAAAACAACAACAAUAAAAAGAAAUUAAAUCCAGUCCAGUUUUCUAGACUGCUUCAUCAAGCAUAGAAAAAGGAAUUCUAGAAAAAUCUAAAAGCCAAAUGUACCUCAGAAAACAAAUUUUAGUGGUAAAAACCUUUAAUUUCCUAGACUACUUCAAAACUCUGCUUCUCCUUUCAUUCUCAACUGUGAUUUUUCAAUUCGGGGCCUCUAUCCAACAUGAUCGUGUGAGGAAUAUGUUUGUUUUUAGACACUUAUCUCAGGGCCGUGUCCUAUCUCUCUUUCUUUUGCAUAUUGUAGCGUGUCCCAUAUGUAUUCGGCCGUGUCCGAUUAGUGUCCAUGUCAGACACAUAUACGACACUAAUAUGAGGAGGGAUGAGCCGUGCCCGUGGUUCCUAGUCAGCAUUUCUGAGAAGAACUUUGUUUCAAUCAUCUUCAAAGCAUCAUCAUUUAGUUUCUCAUUCUCCAUUACUACAAUGUCUAUCAUUCAAUUUUAUUUUACUUCACUAGGUUUGAAAAUAGUAUUGAAUGAGUAUAUCUAUAAGUCUUGUUUUGGAAAGCUCUAUUAAAACAUCAUGGACAACUUCAUUAGUUAUCAUUUAAUUAAUUAGCAAGCAGUUAACAAUUUACAUAAUUUAUCCAAUUAUACAUCUCAUGCAUGUUAAACAUACAAUUGUUUUCUAAAACACACGUAUAACAUCUAAGUUUUACCUCAAUGUCCAGUAGCUCUUCCACCUACAGUUACAAGUUAGUCGAACAAUUGAUCAACCCAUUCAUUGAGCAGUCAUAAUCCACCAUUAAACUAUCUAACUAAAAUAGUAAUAAAAGUUUCAAACUAAACAAUUAAAAAGUCCAUAAAGUCCAAUUACAACCCAACAAGUAAAACUAAGUCUAAUGUUAAAUCUCAUAUUUUGGUCCCACAUUGCCUUCCUCAUUUGGAUUGGGAACACUUCAACGUACCUAAGUGUAGCCUUGUUUGUAUCACUUGGAUGACUCACUUCCCCACCUCUUCACAUGUUAUAUCAUUACAAUGAUUUAAAAGAGAGUGUGAGCUUAGCGAAGCUCAGCGAGUGUUUAAACAUACUAUAAGUAAACACAUCAGUCAGGUUUAAAGUAAGCAUACUAUAAUGGUUCACAUUUUAUUACAGCUCACAUGAAAUAGUGACACACACAGCAUAAUAGUUCUCAUAAUAUAAACAGUGCACAUAGGAUAAGCAAUUAACAUAAAAUAGGUAGUUCACGUAAAAUAUCAGUUCGCGUAAGACAACAGUCCAUAUGAAAUAAUAGUUCAUAUAAAAUAGCAGUUCAUACAACAUCAUAACUCAUAUAUUUCAAAUAAUGAUAAAUUGGCAUUUUGUGAUUAUGAAACAUAUAUGUGGACUCUAUCACCACACAUUGGAUAAACGGAUCUCAAUAUAACGUAUCGCUAUUAACUCAAAGAGACCUAUUUUGUCUCUGAUAUAAGUUUAGCAUGAAUGCUAACACUCUCCUUACCCACGACUCAUAGAACCCUGUGCUAUUUCCGGUGAAUGAAGCUAUGCUCUACAUUCCCUUAUCUCUCCAACACAUCUCCGGGCCAGAAUGCCCCAUCACAAUAAGAAGGGUGAGCACUCAUAAUCCUAUGGCUUGCUAACUAUAUCCAAUGGUUGUAAGAGUUGAAAAUGCCAACAUAUCGUUUUAACAUAUUCAUAAUACUCAGGAUAAUAGGGCUCGUAGUUAAGCAGAGCUCACACAAUAUAGCAUAGUUUGCAAUAAAGCAUGAUUCACAAGUAAUAUAGCUUAGAUGCGACAUAUAUUGCACAUAACCACAGUUCACAUAUCAUUCAUGUCAUACCUCACAUAAAUCAUAGUUCGGAUAUCUUAUUUUCCAUAUUACAUAGCUCGCAUAGUUUAUAACAUAAGUCACGUGAUAGCAUGGCUCGCAUACCAUAUAGCACAAAGUAUCACAAUCCAUAGUUCACAAUAUAUUUCACAAUUUGCUUAGCUCAUAUAUAUAGCACAUAGAUCACAUGAUAACAAAGUUCACACACAGUAUGGUUCACACAUAUCAUAUAGGGUUCGCAUAUCAUCCUAGUUGGGUUCGCACACAACAUAUAGAAGGGAUCACAUAACAUUCUAACAGGGUCCACUCACAACAUAUACCAAGUGAUAAGGGUUCAUACAUGUCUGGUGAUAGGGGUUCGUACAUGUCUGGUGAUAGGGUUCGCACAUGUCUAGUGAUAUGGUUCGCACAUGUUUGUGAUAGGGGUUAUACAUGUCUAGUGAUAGGUGUUCACACAUUUCUGGUGAUAGGGAUUCGCGCAUGUCUAGUGAUACGGUUCGCAGUUAUCACACACAACUGGUUCUCAUAUCAUUCAAUCAUAAGUUCGCAUUAAUUACUUAGCAAGUUCACACGUCUUGCCUAGGCUUCCCUUAGCUUGUGUACUAGUGUUUAAAUGAUGUAUACAAGACCACUCAUCUUAACAACCAUUGCUUCAACUAUAAUGCUCAAGUAAGCUUUUAUUUGCCUUUGUCCAUGCUUAUAGAGGCUUCCAAAUGACUUGACACUUCACAUACACAUCAAACACAUUGUAAAGUCAUUACUAACAAUAAAAAACACAAUUAAAUCAUUCCAAAAUCAUAGAUCACAACCUCUAAAUCUCUAUACCAAGAACUUAACUAGUUUUUAAGGUUAGAUUUCUACUUCAUGCAUCCUAAAUAUAAUCUAAUUAUAGAUUUGAGCCAUCAAUUUUAUCCAAUUACACUCAUCUAAUUUUUUGAAAAGAAAAUCAAGCUUAUAUUACCAUCAAGAAGGGGAAAAUGUUUAAUUUACUAAAGGAUUUAUUAAAUCAAGAUUAAAAACCCUUUAGAUUAAAAUGAGUUAGAAAUCACUUUAAAAUAGAAGCUUAGCUAAGAGAUACAAGAUCUACAAUUUUCAAGCCAAGAAUCAACUUAAAAUCAAUUGAUCUAUUACAAUCUUGAUUAAAUCAUUUAAAUCUCAAAUUGAAAUAACAGUUCACUUAGUUUAAUCAUAAAAGGUUAGAAUCUUACCUCAAUUUUGAAAAAUCGACAAGCUAUAGAGCUAUGUCACAUCUUGAAAACUGGGUUUGUAGAAAUUGAGUUAGUGAACUGAGUUAGUGGACUCACCUUGUUUUUACUUAAAUGUUGUGAAAUUGUGUCAAGUGAAUUGAUUUGGUUCAAUGGUUAAAUGUUGUGUUUGUGCGUAAGAGGUCAUGUGUUCAAAUCCUUUCCCUUUAAUUUUUAGUAAUUUUGUUACAACUGCUAUCUUUGAACAUUUGGCUUAUAUAUUAUUUUCAUUCAACUAAUGAUAAAAUGAGUCUGGUCAUUCAGUGGUAAGGCUUUGACUUACCCUUUGGUCCUGUGUUUGAAUCCUUGUGUGUGCAAAAUGAGAAUAUUUUUAUUCCAUUGCUUUGUAACACUCAUGUGAUCAAAAUUUGAGUCAAAUUUCAAUUUCAAAAAAUCUUAUCCUAAUAGGAUAAGAUUUUAUUUUUUGUUAUUUUAUUUUUAUUUUUGAAAAUUAGUUCCCAAAAAAAAUCUCCCACAUUACUAUCCACUUCCUCUCAUGUCUCUCUCUCUCUCAAUUUGUCGUUCAUUGUUUCGUUCCUCCCCAUUUUCUUUGUUGUUUUUUCAAUUUUUUGUUUUUCCUUUGUGACUAGCUAUUGUUUUCUCAACAAUUCUUCAUAAGAUUUCAGCCUUCAUUCUUUUUUCUUGUCAUUCUUAGUCUCUAAUUUGAUUCUUUGGUGUGUUUUGGAGUUCCAGAAUCGUAGUAAGUGUCGUGUAAGUAUGGUGUUUGUUUCGUUAAUUUUUCUUCUAAGAAGGAUGUUUGUAAGUAAGUUGCUCAAGAAAUUUUUGAUUGGUAUUGACUUCUUUUUGACAUUCUCUUUUGUGUGGAAAUUUGCUAGGUGAGGUUCGUGGAUUGCAUGACAUUCUUCCGAUGAGUAAGGAGUUUCCCAAGGCUACCGUUAAUGUUUGUGUAAGUAAAGGAAUGCCGAGAGGUUGAUUUUUGGCUUGUUAAGGCCUUGUAUUAGAGAUUGGAAUCAUAUUGGGGGUUUAGAGUUUAGUGAUUUGUUUCUAAAAUUGCUCGUUCUUAAUGUCAAUUUUAGGUUUUAGAAUUUCAAUUGUGGUGUGGGCAUCGAAAAGCGUUCAGGUGUGUAACGAAAAACCUGAAAAAUAGCAAAUGGCGCGAAGCCAAAAAGUUCACUAUCAAUGUCACACAAUCGUGUGACAAACCGUGUGAGCCACACAACUGUGUGUCAGGCCAUGUGGGCCACACAGACGUGUGGGCACAAUUUUUUUUGUAAAAUUUAGUUAGGGCCAUAUUUGUAAUGCAGUUUGAGGUUAGCCACUUCGUAGGCUCUAAAAUGUGUUAUGUAGGAUUUAUAGUUAUGAAAUGUUACGUUAUGCUUCUGUUAAUAUGAUUUUUGAAAGCAUGACAUUAUAUUCUGAUGCGUAAAGCAUGUAUGACUUAAAAUUCUAAUAUUGUAUGCGUAAUGUCCAAGAGCAAGUUUGUGUUAUAACUUUUGCAUCUUAUUUAUGUUUUGAGUUAUCUCUUUAAGCAUGAUUCAUGUACAUAUAUAUGAGUAUGUAAUAUGUUUGAUAUGUGUAUUGGGGUGGGAUAAUGAUGUGAUGAAGAAAGUGUUGGUAGUUUAACUGCAUAUUGAUAAGCCAUCAUUAUCAGGCAACCCGAGGUGGCGGGUCAUCGUUUUCGAGCAACCUAGGAUGACUUUAUUAGUGGUUUAACCAUAUAUCUGUUCUGGCAGCUUGACUGUAAUUCUAGUGGCUUGGUCACACUUAUUUGAUCCUAACAGAUUACUGUAUUAUAUCAGGCAGCUUGACUGCAUUAUUCUGAAAAGUGAGAUACGCUCGCUUAUAGAUGUGUGGGGUUGGAUGGGUAUUAUUACCCUAACUAGUGUGUAGGGAUGGUCGAAGAUGGUGUGUAGUGGAUGAGGUAGAAUUUGAUUAUGUAUCUGCAUCCGUAUCUAAUUCUAUAUUAGUAAUUGAAUUUAAUUUUUUAUAUUCAUCUAUAUUUGCAAUUGCAUCUGAUUCUGUAUCUGCAUCUGUAACUAAUUUGUCUGCUAUAUUGGUAUUUGUUCUAUUUGUUGGGCUGAGUUACACAUUGAGCUCAUUAGCUCACCUCUUUGUUUUAUCUUUUCAGGCAUUUGACAGAUUUAGGAUUGGGCGGCGUUAGGAAACUCAGACUUGUUAUCUUGCAUAAGUUGGUUAGAAUUAUAAAUAAUUGAACUUUUCUGGACUUCUGAUUUCUAGAUAAAUUUUUAGUUUUAAUUUUGGUUUUUUUAUUUAGUUAAAGUUUUUUUGCAUGUUUUCUGUUAAUUAAAAAAAUCACGUUUGAUUUUCAAAUCAAACGAGCUAAGGAUUUUCCACUGCAAACAUGAAAUGAGUUUUACAAAUGUUAAUAAUGAGAGUUUUAAAAAAUUCUCAAUCAGAAAAAUUAUACAUUUUCCCUUAUAGAAACUAUGGUUUUCAACUUAUCAUGUAACGCCCCAAAAUUUUAAGAAUUUAAUUGUGAGAUUCUGUAGUAAUUAAAUUUCUCUAUCUGUGGUUCUGUGUUUUGUGAUUGAGUUUAAGGUUUGGAGUUCGAGUUACAUUGUUAAAAGUUUUAUUCUUUUAGAACAAUCUCUAUCCAUGCGGUAUAUGGGUAAAAGUAGUUUGUAAGAACCUAUGACAAUAAUGAGCCUGCUGGUUCACUGGUUAAGCAUCUAUCUGUAUUCUAUCUGGUCCCGAGUUCAAAUCUCAUUGUAUGUGUUAAGAGAAUUUUUGCUAGUUGUUGAAGGUAUGUUGGUGGUUAAGACCAAUUUUAUUAAAUUUGGUUAAUGUAUGUAUCUUUUCUUCUUCUUUCUUUUUUUUUAUUUUUUUAUUUUUCCUUUUCUUUCUUUGUUUUACUUCUUUGAUUUCUUCUCGUCGAGUGUGUUCAACAUGUGAUUAUCGGAAAUUAGUGAGAUCUUUACGUUUUUAAAAGACUUCUGUAUAAGUUCUGUCGGAUUCCUUUCACUUUUGCAAUGUUUGGUUAGAUUCUUGUUACGGUGUUAAAUUGGGAAUUAUCAAACUGCUUUUCUUAAACUCUCUGUUAACUAGUCGUUUUGUUCCCUUAGGUGUGAGUACAGAGGGAAGCGACCCUUCGCGUGUUGUGCCGAAUUAGCACGGUAGAAUUGUCGGUAAGCAUUUGUCGUUGAAGUUCCCUCGUGUCGAUUUAUUCAACAUAAUUGGCUGUGUAUUAAUGUUGUGUUAAUUAGUCGUUUAGACAAAUGAUUGAUUCCUGAAUGGUUAAUUAGGUUUCGGGUAAUCUCCAUAUUUUUUUCCAUCAAAAUGAAACCAGGUGUGUAUCGAAAACCUUAAUUUUUACAAGUUUUGGUCGCCAAAAAUGGUGGCUGUCGACACUACACGGCCAGGCACACGGGCGUGUGUCCAGGCCAUGUAAGCCACAUAGUCGUGUGGCAGGCUGUGUAGUUGGUCGUGUAACUCACUGUUUGUCGAUUUGGGGCCACACGAGCAAAGGACAUGGGCGUGUGUCGAGGCUGUGUGUGGCCAUAUUAAUGCAGGGUUCACACGAGCAACGAACACGGACAUGUGUCAGGGUCAUGUAACUUACUAUUUGUGGUAAAAGACCACACGGACAAGGCACAUGGGCAUGUGUCUUGGCCGUGUCACUCACUGUUUGUGGAAUAAAACCACAUGGCCAUGGACACGAGCGUGUGUCCAGGCCAUGUAACUCAUUGUUUAUGCUUCGGAACCACACAAGCAAAACACAUGGGCGUCUAACCAGGCCGUGUGGCAUGUUAUUGGGAAAUCUGUUUUUAAGGCCAUGAAUGUUAUUUAACACUAACACUGGCUUCCCCUUUGUAUGAAUGAUUGAAUUGAUUAUAUGGAAGUUGUCUAAUAUUCUGAAACUGAUGUAUGCAUAAGAUAGUGGUAUGUAUACUAUGAUGCUUAUUCUGAGAUGGCAUUGUUUUAUCUGUUUGGGAAAUAAAUUAGAAUGAUUGAAUAUUUGGUACGAGAUUUGUACUCUGUAUUUACAUGGGUUUGGGUAUUGCGGAGCAAGAAGUAAUCUGUAUAGAAAUAGUGGUUCAGCCACAAUGUGCAUAAAUUUUAUUCUGGCACUGCGUUGCCUUCAGACCUAACAGCUAAGUUGCGUAUCUGUAAAAGUGUCAAAUGAGACUCUAAGGUGUGUAAGGUUUAUUGGGCAUUGAAUGUCCUUAACGGUACGUUGGGAUGGUCGAAAACAGUGUGUAGCAGUUGGUUUAGGAUUACUACAUCUAAAUCUAAUUUGUAUUGUAUUGUAUCUGGGACUGAAUUUGUAUAUAAACAGAUGUAUAACUCAUCUGCUCUGAAUUAUGAAUUGAAACUUCAUUUGUAUCAAAGUAAAUCUUUGAAUUUGGAAUUAUUUUAUAAGUGAGCACUAGUUGAAAAAUUUUCUUUUACGCCAUGAGUUCACUACUUAUUUUGUUAUUGAUUGAAUUUCAGAUGGAUCUUAGUCAUGAACGGACCGGUGCCGCAGAAGCUCGGUCAAGCUUUUAACUUUCUCUUAAGUAUUAUGUUAGGACUUCAGUAAUCUAUGAUAGUAGAACUUUGGAAGGUUAUGAACUAACUAAUCUUUGUGAUGGAUAUUUUGUGAAGCAUGGUUUAGUAUUAUUGUGUUACUUGUGUGGUAUGUGAGUAUCAACGAUGUAACUCUCUAAACUUGGGUUGAACGUCUAGGCUGGGUUUGGGGUGUCACAUAUCAUCUUUGAAAAUCCGUUGCAAACUUAGGUAUCACAUUAUGUGCUUUUCCGAAAAAUAAAUAAUAUUUGUGUGUGGUUUUCUAAAAGAAAAACAUGUAAGAGUUUUGUCAAAAA
rnacentral:lncRNA from 1 species